rnacentral:rRNA from 1 species
AUGAAGAACGUAGCGAAAUGCGAUACUUGGUGUGAAUUGCAGAAUCCCGUGAACCAUCGAGUCUUUGAACGCAAGUUGCGCCUGAAGCCAUUAGGCCGAGGGCACGCCUGCAUGGGCGUCACGC